UCAGCUUCUUGGCCUUUUGGCUAAGAUCAAGUGUACUAUCUGUUCUUAUCAGUAUAUUUAUACCCUACCUUUUCUCUCCACAAGGAGACUCAAAGCAGUGUGCAUUAAAAUCAUUUCAAUACAAUUGAAAAUCGACACAUA
ensembl:snRNA U2 U2 spliceosomal RNA